GCGCAGCCUUUGAGCCCCCGCCGCGCCUGUGCGGGGCGCUGGGGGUUAAGCUGAGCGCCAGGGCACUUGCUGACCGGUAACUGGGCCCCCCACCCUGCAAACAGCGCUGUUAACCUGGAGGACAAGG
rnacentral:snoRNA from 1 species